AGUGAACGCUGGCGGUAGGCCUAACACAUGCAAGUCGAACGGCAGCACAGUAAGAGCUUGCUCUUACGGGUGGCGAGUGGCGGACGGGUGAGGAAUACAUCGGAAUCUACUUUUUCGUGGGGGAUAACGUAGGGAAACUUACGCUAAUACCGCAUACGACCUACGGGUGAAAGCAGGGGAUCUUCGGACCUUGCGCGAUUGAAUGAGCCGAUGUCGGAUUAGCUAGUUGGCGGGGUAAAGGCCCACCAAGGCGACGAUCCGUAGCUGGUCUGAGAGGAUGAUCAGCCACACUGGAACUGAGACACGGUCCAGACGCCUACGGGAGGCAGCAGUGGGGAAUAUUGGGCAAUGGGCGCAAGCCUGAUCCAGCCAUACCGCGUGGGUGAAGAAGGCCUUCGGGUUGUAAAGCCCUUUUGUUGGGAAAGAAAAGCAGCAGGUUAAUACCCCGCUGUUCUGACGGUACCCAAAGAAUAAGCACCGGCUAACUUCGUG
rnacentral:rRNA from 1 species